GAUGAACGCUAGCGGCAGGCCUAACACAUGCAAGUCGAGGGGUAGAACACUUCGGUGUUUGAGACCGGCGCACGGGUGCGUAACGCGUAUGCAAUCUACCUUAUACGGGGGAAUAGCCCAGAGAAAUUUGGAUUAAUGCCCCAUAGCAUUACGACUUGGCAUCAAGAUGUAAUCAAAGUUCCAACGGUAUAAGAUGAGCAUGCGUCCCAUUAGUUAGUUGGUAAGGUAACGGCUUACCAAGACGAUGAUGGGUAGGGGUCCUGAGAGGGAGAUCCCCCACACUGGUACUGGGACACGGACCAGACUCCUACGGGAGGCAGCAGUGAGGAAUAUUGGUCAAUGGUCGCAAGACUGAACCAGCCAUGCCGCGUGCAGGAAGACGGUCCUAUGGAUUGUAAACUGCUUUUAUACAGGGAGAAACCCUCCCACGUGUGGGAGCUUGACGGUACUGUAGGAAUAAGGAUCGGCUAACUCCGUGCCAGCCGCCGCAGUAA
rnacentral:rRNA from 1 species